GUCUAUGGCCAUGCCGCCCUGUACAAGCCCAAAUCCCGUCUAAUCUCAGAAGCUAAGCAGGAUCGUGCCUGGUUAGUACUUGGAUAGGAGACCACCUAGGAAGACCAGGUGCUAUAGGCA
rfam:Pteropus alecto contig16725, whole genome shotgun sequence.